rnacentral:rRNA from 1 species
GAUGAACGCUGGCGGCGUGCCUAAUACAUGCAAGUCGAGCGAACAGACGAGGAGCUUGCUCCUCUGACGUUAGCGGCGGACGGGUGAGUAACACGUGGAUAACCUACCUAUAAGACUGGGAUAACUUCGGGAAACCGGAGCUAAUACCGGAUAAUAUAUUGAACCGCAUGGUUCAAUAGUGAAAGACGGUUUUGCUGUCACUUAUAGAUGGAUCCGCGCCGCAUUAGCUAGUUGGUAAGGUAACGGCUUACCAAGGCGACGAUGCGUAGCCGACCUGAGAGGGUGAUCGGCCACACUGGAACUGAGGCACGGUCCAGACUCCUACGGGGGGCAGCAGUAGGGAAUCUUCCGCAAUGGGCGAAAGCCUGACGGAGCAACGCCGCGUGAGUGAUGAAGGUCUUCGGAUCGUAAAACUCUGUUAUUAGGGAAGAACAAAUGUGUAAGUAACUAUGCACGUCUUGACGGUACCUAAUCAGAAAGCCACGGCUAACUACGUG